rnacentral:rRNA from 1 species
ACGAACCGUACGAACGUUAUUCGGAAUUACUGGGCUUAAAGAGUGCGUAGGCGGCUUGGCAGGUUGGGUGUGAAAGCCCUCGGCUCAACCGAGGAAUAGCGCUCAAAACCGCCAAGCUUGAGGGAGAUAGAGGUGAGCGGAACUGAUGGUGGAGCGGUGAAAUGCGUUGAUAUCAUCAGGAACACCGGUGGCGAAAGCGGCUCACUGGGUCUCUUCUGACGCUGAGGCACGAAAGCUAGGGGAGCGAACGGG